AAUGCGAUCCACUCCUUCGGACGUUAAUGGCAUCAAGCUUGGGUAGAUCUCUAUUUUGGUGAAGAAGAAGGAUAGAGAAGAUAGGCUAGAUUUUUUUUGGAGAAGAGGAAAGAAGAACUAGAAGAGAAAGGAGGGAGGAGAGAGGGUUAGGGCAAAGGUAGGAGGAGGAGAAGAUUAGGACAAAGAUAGAAAGAGGAGAUGAGAAGGAUUUGGAAUGAAGAAAAAAGUGGGAGCGAAAUGAGGAAAAAAAGGAAGGAAAAAAAUAAAAAGGUCAUGUUUUUGGAGAGAGCGAUCAGGCAUCGACGAGGGAGGUUGGCGUCACUCGAUUCCGACGGUCGGAGGAGGGAGAAAGAGGAGAAGAGAGAUUAAAU
rnacentral:lncRNA from 1 species